ACCAGACUGACCUGUAUUCCUAUAGAGGAUCGAGGCGUCUUCAAGUACUCCUCAGCCUUGGACACCAGGACGGCCUUGUCACAGGGUACAACACAAACUGCAUCUCCAAACAGAUGGAAGCAAAUUUAACUCCCGAGACAGCGGGCUGAUAAGGUCAGCCAUGUUGGAUUGGUCCUUAAUCAAACAAUAGCCUAAACAGAUAAGAGAGCUUUUCUAUUUUCGGCAGAUGGAAGUUUACCAACGAGUCUGGUUGUUCUCAAGGUUUCUUCCUGAUAAGACAAAGUUUUCCUUCCCACUGUUGCAAAUUGCUUGUUUAUUGGAGGAUAAAUGUUGGGUUUGGGGAAAUAAAAAGGAUAACAGUUCAGACCAA